rnacentral:misc_RNA from 1 species
GAUGAAGAACGCAGCGAAAUGCGAUACUUGGUGUGAAUUGCAGAAUCCCGUGAACCAUCGAGUCUUUGAACGCAAGUUGCGCCCGAAGCCAUUAGGCCGAGGGCACGCCUGCCUGGGCGUCACACGUCGUUGCCCCCCCAUCUACUCCUUCGGGAUUGCGGGGGGCGUAUGAUGGCCUCCCGUGCGCCUCGUCGCGCGGUUGGCAUAAAUACCAAGUCCUCGGCGACGCACGCCACGACAAUCGGUGGUUGCGAAACCUCGGUUGCCCGUCGUGUGCGGUCGUCGCGCAUCGAGGGCUCGAAAAAAUUGCCGGGCUCCGGCUCGGCUUUCAACGCGACCCCAGGUCAGGCGGGGUUACCCGCUGAAUUUAAGCAUAUCAAUAAGCGGAGGA